rnacentral:lncRNA from 1 species
GUGCAAAGAUACAGACAUAAAGGAAGAGAGAAAUUGGGCAGAGAGGGCGUGGGGUAUGGGAAGUAGAAGAAAGGACACAUGUCAUUAAGAACAAGUCGUUCUGUGAAACAGGAAUUUGAACUAAUAAAUCCUGUUGUCUAAUGGAAUGCACCCAAGAAGAAAAUAAACAGCUCAGUUGGUUGAAGACAGAUUUCUAAGAAGUUUUUCUUAUUGAGUACCCAAGGGAAAGCCAGUAUUUCAGAAGCUCUGGUGUCCAUGGUCAAAUGGUAUUUUCAAACAACUGUGGAGAGAAGUCAAGAUGCAUACACUUGGAGUCAUUAAAUAAUGAGGAAGACAAGGUGGUGAGAAAUCAUUGCUAAACUGCAGUUCACCCCGUGCCUGCCAACAGAUACAGAGCAGACAAGCUUGUGUUCCUGAGGUUACGCUGCUCUCAUUUAGAGCACCACUAAGCCAAAUGAAGAAUAUUACUUAUAUAUAGCAGACUCUUCCUCAGGGAGGAACCCGAGGAAAGUCACAAAAAAAGUAGAGGAAGCCGAAAGAGUGUUUUUAGUCUCACACAUCCUGUACUUUUUUUUCAGCUGCUAUUUUGAAAGAUAAACAUUACAUUUGUGGUUGAGUCGUCUUCCAGGUUAGAGAAAACAAAACAAUAUGGUUGUGAAAAGAAGAGGCCUGUGAUGGAGCUAAUGACCUUGGAAAGGCAGACUGCUUUCCUGGUUUUCAAAACAAAACAAACCAAAACAAACCAUUUUUAAAAAGUGGUUGAACAACGGUAAAGCCCUUGCAUCUAUCUCCAGUGCCCCUAGGCCCCCAGCUGGUUCUAGAGUGACCUAGACACAAAGAUGCUCUGUCCAGUGUGAGCAGAGGAAUGGCAUGCCGUCCCUGUAUAGCCAAUUCCACCUUCAGCUUUCAUUCGAUUGGCAUUUUGUAGGCAGGAAGUUGUGUUCAACUCAGGUUUUAUUGAAACUAGGGCAUUUCUAUAUUCUUCUUAAUUUGAAAAUGAAAGCAAAUUUUAUUUAGGAAGCUAGUGGAGUUUUCUUGUGGGUUUGAAGGCAAUCUCACUUUACCAAUGGGUCAAUUCCAUAGAUCCUUUUGUUUCCUAUUAGAUACCAAAAGUGGCUCCUACUUACUAUAUCCAAAACCCUGCUGUCAUCACACAGGGCACCGCUAAAGCCUAUAGUCAGCUGAGAGAUCAGAGAAUUUGAGAGGAAGAAACCAACCUAUAUGGCAUUAGUAGAGCAGUGGGUGGAAAUGCCUGCUGGUCUAGAUAUUAUUGGGCCUCCUUGAGAAAUUACUCAAUAUGACUGAUAACAUGUGUUGAAAGGUGUUGCAGAGUGGCUUCCUUUAUACAGUCUACAGUGGAAUUGACUUGUAAUGGUGCCAUUAGGUCGGAAUUGGAAGACAGAUAGGGAUCCAGAAGACCCCAGAUGCAUGAUUCUUAAACCUCCCAAUAAUAAAAUAUAUUGUUGAUUGGCAUUGUGUUAGGAUUCCUAUGGCUGCUCUAACAAAUUAUCACAAAUUUUGUGGCUUAAAACAACUGAAAUUUAUUCUCUCACAGUUCUGGAGGCAAGAAGUCCUAAAUCAGUGUCACCAGGCAGAAAUCAAGGUACUGGCAGAGCUGUCCUCCCUCCAGAUGCUCCAGCUCACUGGAUAAUCCUGGAUAAUCUCCCCAUGUCAAGAUUCUUAAUCACAUCUGCAAAGACCCUUCUUCUAUGUAAGGUAAUGUUUAUAGUUUCUGGGGAUUAGAACCUUAUAUCUUUGGGAUCAUCAUUCAGCCUACUAUAGGCAUGCACUCUGUUCUCUCUCACAUACAUAGUAACACUCGAUAUAUAUACUAGGAGUCAUCACUGGACGACUUGGAGAACACUAACUAAUAAGUGCUUAUUUUGAGCACCUGCUCUGUGCUGAGCUCUGUCCAAGUUGCAGCAACAAAACAAAGGAAGUGUGAAACACAACCUCUGCCUUGAAGUAAAAGACAAAUAUGGUUGGAAGAAAAGACUCAUACACAAGUGACAUAAAUAGAA